rnacentral:lncRNA from 12 species
AGAGAUUGAAUUGCCCCCCCACCUUUUUCUUUUUAAGUUCUAUUUAACUAUACUAAAUAUUUUAUUUUUCUUUCUAACUCUUUAUUUCCCUCUCCCUUUAUGUUGUUUGUCUCCCUCUCUCUUUCUCAUUCUGUUUCUAUUUGCCUGUUUCUCUCUAACUCUCUAUUUCCCUCUCUUUCUUUCUCUCUCCCUCUGUUCCUCUAUUUCUUUCUCUCCCUCUCUUCCUCUAUUUCCCUCUAUUUCUUUCUCUCCCCCUCUGUUUACCUUUAACUCUACUUCCCUCUCACUGUAUUUCCCCCUAUUUCUUGCUCUCUAACUCUUUCUUUCUCUGUCUCUCUUUCUCUAUUUCCCUUUCUCUCUCUCUCUCUCUGUUUCUUUCUCUUUCAAACUUUCCUUUCUAGCUUUAAAAAAGCAGCAGUAGAAACUUUCAGGCUCUCUGUCAGUAAAUUGAAAAAAAUCAAAAAACUUUAAAACCUUUAAAUAAAAAAAAAUUACUCCCCGGGAGCCUGAAAUUUUCUACUGCUG